rnacentral:misc_RNA from 1 species
AACAUAGACCAGAUGAUAAGGCAGGGUAUUACUUGAGAACAGCAUGGAGUUCCAUUAUGUUGUAAGCAUAGGAGGAAGGUAGUCAGAUUUGGCACCUAGAACUCGAGCUUUGGUGUCAGGAAAGAAUUCGGUUCCAGGAAGCUCUGUCACAUCUCCUUCACUAGCAAUCCCAACAGGAUAUCGGAGCAAAUGACCAGGUAAGUCAUGUUCAAG